rnacentral:rRNA from 1 species
GGGGGAUAUUGCACAAUGGAGGAAACUCUGAUGCAGCAACGCCGCGUGAGGGAAGAAGGCUUUCGGGUCGUAAAGCUCUGUCUUCAGGGACGAGAAAAGACGGUACCUGAGGAGGAAGCCACGGCUAACUACGUGCCAGCAGCCGCGGUAAUACGUAGGUGGCGAGCGUUGUCCGGAAUUACUGGGCGUAAAGGGUGCGUAGGCGGGUUUUUAAGUCAGAUGUGAAGCCCCCGGGCUUAACCUGGGGAUUGCAUUUGAAACUGGGAGCCUAGAGUGCAGGAGAGGGAAGCGGAAUUCCUAGUGUAGCGGUGAAAUGCGUAGAUAUUAGGAAGAACACCAGUGGCGAAGGCGGCUUUCUGGACUGUAACUGACGCUGAGGCACGAAAGCGUGGGGAGCAAAC